GAUGAACGCUGGCGGCGUGCCUAAUACAUGCAAGUCGAGCGAACCACUUCGGUGGUGAGCGGCGAACGGGUGAGUAACACGUAGGUGAUCUGCCAAUCAGACGGGGACAACGAUUGGAAACGAUCGAUAAUACCGGAUAGGACGAAAGUUUAAAGGUGCUUCUGGCACCGCUGAUGGAUGAGCCUGCGGCGCAUUAGAUAGUUGGUAGGGUAAAGGCAUACCAAGGCGCAGAUGCGUAGCCGAACUGAGAGGGUGAACGGCCACACUGGGACUGAGGCACGGCCCAGACUCCUACUGGAGGCAGCAGUAGGGAAUCUUCGGCAAUGGGCGAAAGCCUGACCGAGCAACGCCGCGUGAAUGAUGAAGGCCUUCGGGUUGUAAAAUUCUGUUAUAAGGGAAGAACGACUUUAGUAGGAAAUGGCUAGAGUGUGACGGUACCUUAUGAGAAAGCCACGGCUAACUACGUGCCAGCAGCCGCGGUAA
rnacentral:rRNA from 1 species